AUUGAACGCUGGCGGCAGGCCUAACACAUGCAAGUCGAACGGUAACAGGAAGCAGCUUGCUGCUUUGCUGACGAGUGGCGGACGGGUGAGUAAUGUCUGGGAAACUGCCUGAUGGAGGGGGAUAACUACUGGAAACGGUGGCUAAUACCGCAUAACGUCGCAAGACCAAAGAGGGGGACCUUCGGGCCUCUUGCCAUCAGAUGUGCCCAGAUGGGAUUAGCUUGUUGGUGAGGUAACGGCUCACCAAGGCGACGAUCCCUAGCUGGUCUGAGAGGAUGACCAGCCACACUGGAACUGAGACACGGUCCAGACUCCUACGGGAGGCAGCAGUGGGGAAUAUUGCACAAUGGGCGCAAGCCUGAUGCAGCCAUGCCGCGUGUAUGAAGAAGGCCUUCGGGUUGUAAAGUACUUUCAGCGGGGAGGAAGGUGUUGUGGUUAAUAACCGCAGCAAUUGACGUUACCCGCAGAAGAAGCACCGGCUAACUCCGUGCCAGCAGCCGCGGUAAUACGGAGGGUGCAAGCGUUAAUCGGAAUUACUGGGCGUAAAGCGCACGCAGGCGGUCUGUCAAGUCGGAUGUGAAAUCCCCGGGCUCAACCUGGGAACUGCAUUCGAAACUGGCAGGCUUGAGUCUUGUAGAGGGGGGUAGAAUUCCAGGUGUAGCGGUGAAAUGCGUAGAGAUCUGGAGGAAUACCGGUGGCGAAGGCGGCCCCCUGGACAAAGACUGACGCUCAGGUGCGAAAGCGUGGGGAGCAAACAGGAUUAGAUACCCUGGUAGUCCACGCCGUAAACGAUGUCUACUUGGAGGUUGUGCCCUUGAGGCGUGGCUUCCGGAGCUAACGCGUUAAGUAGACCGCCUGGGGAGUACGGCCGCAAGGUUAAAACUCAAAUGAAUUGACGGGGGCCCGCACAAGCGGUGGAGCAUGUGGUUUAAUUCGAUGCAACGCGAAGAACCUUACCUGGUCUUGACAUCCACAGAAGAAUCCAGAGAUGGAUUUGUGCCUUCGGGAACUGUGAGACAGGUGCUGCAUGGCUGUCGUCAGCUCGUGUUGUGAAAUGUUGGGUUAAGUCCCGCAACGAGCGCAACCCUUAUCCUUUGUUGCCAGCGGUUAGGCCGGGAACUCAAAGGAGACUGCCAGUGAUAAACUGGAGGAAGGUGGGGAUGACGUCAAGUCAUCAUGGCCCUUACGACCAGGGCUACACACGUGCUACAAUGGCGCAUACAAAGAGAAGCGACCUCGCGAGAGCAAGCGGACCUCAUAAAGUGCGUCGUAGUCCGGAUUGGAGUCUGCAACUCGACUCCAUGAAGUCGGAAUCGCUAGUAAUCGUGGAUCAGAAUGCCACGGUGAAUACGUUCCCGGGCCUUGUACACACCGCCCGUCACACCAUGGGAGUGGGUUGCAAAAGAAGUAGGUAGCUUAACCUUCGGGAGGGCGCUUACCACUUUGUGAUUCAUGACUGGGGUGAAGUCGUAACAAGGUAACCGUAGGGGAACCUGCGGUUGGAUCACCUCCUUACCUUAAAGAAGC
rnacentral:rRNA from 1 species